GAUGAACGCUGGCGGCGUGCCUAAUACAUGCAAGUCGAGCGAAGCGGGGACGGGUGAGUAACACGUGGAUAACCUCCUAUAUGACUGGGAUAACUUCGGGAAACCGGAGCUAAACCGGAUACUUAUCGAUGGAUCCGGUCUGCAUUAGCUAGUGGGUAAGGUAACGGCUUACCAAGGCAACGAUGCAUAGCUGACCUGAGAGGAUGAGCAGCCACACUGGAACUGAGACACGGCCCAGACUCCUACGGGAGGCAGCAGUAGGGAAUAUUGCGCAAUGGGCGAAAGCCUGACGGAGCCAUGCCGCGUGAGUGAUGAAGGUCUUCGGAUCGUAAAACUCUGUUAUUAGGGAAGCGGUACCUACUGAGAAAGCCACGGCUAACUACGUGCCAGCAGCCGCGGUAAUUC
rnacentral:rRNA from 1 species